AUAUUGAUACUCUUACUUAAUCCUAUUAAUCGCAUAUUUUGCGAGCAGGGAUUUGAAUUUCGGCUUUCUUAUACCUUCGUCUCAGCUCAGGCGCUGUGAUUGGCUACAAACAAUGGAAUCCAAGGCGGCGUUGCUUAGCAACGGAACAGUCAAUCGACGUUAGAAAACCUCCCCGUUGUUUGGUACUUUACAUCAAACUCUGGCGCCCCUUAGUGGCGACUACUGAAAACUACAAGGUAAAACGGUUACCUUGGCAACUGUCUGUGUAUAUCUCACCCUGGCUGCUGGACAUUAUCAAAUAAGUUCACCAGAGCGGCUGUAAAUGUUUUAAUUUGCCCGACAUUGUUUGAAAUAAUCAAGACUGUGGAAAUGGAUACGUCGGUGGUGCUGCCUGUUGAAGCUGAGGGGAUUAUUCGAAGUUUGGAUAUUUUCUCCCUCAAAGAAGUGGGUUCUGCGAGGUGGUUCAGACAACAUGAACAUAUUGAGAGACUAAAUAUGCAGGCCAUACUGAAUGCUUCAGCCAUGCACGAUGAGUUUGUCAAGGAGCUCCUGGUGUCCUUCGGAAAGAUACCUGUUCUGGUCCAUGAGAUGAUCCUUGUGGAGGUGUGGAAGCAGAAAGUGUUCCCAAUCCUAUGCCAGCUGCAAGACUUCAACCCUAAGUGCACCUUUCAUCUUUACAUGCUGAUCCACCAUGAGGCUACAAUCAUCAACCUGCUUGAAACAGUGUUGUUUCAUAAGGAUUCCUGUGAGGCAGCUGGUGAUUCUCUUCUUGACUUGGUGGAUUACUGCCAUCGUAAACUCACUCUGCUGGCCAGUGAGGCAACCAAGGGCCAUGCUGCGGCUCAUGAUCGACAGAACCAGCUAUCCCCUAUAGAGGAGCUGCAGACGCAGAAUACGGCACUGGAGUUUGAAAUCUCUCUUAAAGCUGUAUCUGUUCUGAGCUACAUCGCAGAUCAUUCUGACAGCAUCAGUGUCAUCAAUCGUGUGCUGUGUACGCACAAUAUGCCAUGUGUGCUGGUUCAGCUGAUAGAGUCCUGCCCCUGGAGUCGGAGCGUAAACGGUGGAGUAGAAAAGUACAUUAAUGGCAAAUGGCAGAGGAUUCCUGCUGAGGACCAUUUGAAGAUGACUAAACUUGAUGGCCAGGUCUGGCUGGCUCUGUACAGUUUGAUACUAAAGGAAGAAUGUCAAAGAAAAUACGACUUCAACAAUUUCAACAAGAACCAACUUCUAAAGCUCAGGAGUUUUUUGACAGACGUGCUGAUCGAUCAGCUGCCGAUCCUGCUUGAGCUCCAGCGCUUCCUGGCUCAUCUUGCUGUCACAGACCCGGCUCCACCAAAGAAAGAGCUGAUUCUAGAACAGAUCCCAGAAAUGUGGAGCCAGAUUGUCAGAGACAAUUCUGGGAAGUGGAAAGCGAUAGCAAAAUAUCAGGUCAAAGAAACAUUUAGCCCAUCUGACAGUGACUUACAACAUCAGGCCCAGAGGUUGGCCCAGACAUACAACUUGGAUGUCAUGGAGCGUUUGCUCCCAGAGAAACCAAAGUGUGGAUCCUGUGGUAAAGAGGCCUCAAAGAGAUGCUCUAGAUGCCAGAUAGAGUGGUACUGUAACAGACCAUGCCAGGUGAAGCACUGGCCUAAACACAAGAAGGCCUGCCAGCUGAUGACUGACACUAUGGAGAGGAUCCAGGAGGACAUGCAGAUAGAGAGCCGAGAUAAUCUGCUUUAACCGGAGAAUGAUGAAGAGGAACCAACAUUUCUAGAUAGAAAAAAAAUCUCCAUUCUCCAUUUGCACGAUGCUGAAACAUGACAUUUGUGAUGUAAACCCUGUUGAGAUCUGGAUCUACUUUUCAAGAGCGACAUGGGCAGAGAUCUGCAAUACACUGCAACCUGGUUACAAAAUUAAAA